UACGGAGGGUGCGAGCGUUGUCCGGAAUCACUGGGCGUAAAGGGCGCGUAGGCGGCGCGGGUAGUCAUCGGUGAAAGUUCAGGGCUCAACUCUGAAUCGGCCGGUGAUACUCCCGUGCUCGAGCACUGUAGAGGCAGGUGGAAUUCCGGGUGUAGCGGUGGGAAUGCGUAGAGAUCCGGAAGAACACCGGUGGCGAAGGCGGCCGUGCUGGGCAGUGAGCUGACGCUGAUGCGCGACAGCGUGGGGAGCAAACAGG
rnacentral:rRNA from 1 species